rnacentral:tRNA from 1 species
GGCUUAUUGUGGUAAUGGCCAACCUAUCCGACUGUCUCUCGGAUGCUACGGGUUCGAUUCCCGUAUAAGCCGCCA